AUUUGGUUUUCUCUUUUAUUUUCCUUAUGGUGUAUCUAUAUUUUCCAAUUUAUUUUUCUAAUUCAAAAGUAACCUUUAGUUAUCACAGUUUUCUGUAUAAAUCAAGGUUGUUCAAAUAUUUAAAGAUUAAACAGAAACUAAUGGCAAAUCUGAGCAAAUUGCAAUUGUGAUUUUGUGACAUAGGUGCUUGAAGACAUUGUACAGUUCUCAUAACAUUGAUGGAUGGGUUAGUAGCCAGCAUAAAUUGUCCAUACUGUAUGUUUUGUUGCUUAUGACUAUUAUUUUCAUAGUUAGUAGACACUAUUUAAAAAAAAAAAAGAAAUUAAAAAAAAUCGUCCCAAAAAAACUUCAAUUAGUCUUCAAUUUAUUUGUUCUUUAGAAUUUGGAAUACCAAUAUUCAUAAUGCAAGCAAUGGAAAAAUGGACUGCUAUUUAUACUGAAUUAUUAUUCCGCAAUAUAAAGAUUCAAUGUAACAGUGGGGUUUUUUUUGGACAGUCGCUGGUCACGGCAAUUAAAGGUCUCUUUACUU
rnacentral:sRNA from 1 species